rnacentral:lncRNA from 1 species
GAUGGUAAUAUAAUAGCAUGGAACAAUCAAAACUUAUAGAUACGUUGGAGACGUAUCAAGCAUCCCCAAGCUUAAUUCAUGCUCGUCCUCGAGUAGGUAAAUGAUAAAAACAGAAUUUUUGAUGUGACAUGCUACCCAAUACGUAAUCUUUUGCAUGUAUGCUCAUUGAGAAAUGAUGAAUUAACAAACAUUGACAUAGUAAUACUUAUAAGCACAAGCAACAAAAUCAUCAAUCUUUCAAAGUAUAUGAUCCUCAAAGAAUGUUUACCCACAUUCAUCUUAUUAUAUUAGCAAGGCAUGGCUCCAUCUUCUUCGUAUUAAUACAAAUGUCAAGCACCACAGUGCCCAAGUCAGGCAAUUCGAUCGUACUUUUUCAAUAUGCAUCAACUCUUUAUUCUUCGCGCAAUACAUGAGCCUGACCCAUGGACAUAACAUAUAGGUGGAAUAGAAUAUGGUGAUAGGUUUCAAAGGGGCACAAGUGGGGAAGAAAGUCUCGCGUCAACUCGGCAUAUCAAUGGGCUAUGUAGAUGCCCAUCAAUAGAUAUCAAUGCAAGGAGUGGGGAUUGCCAUGAAAUGGAUGCACUAGAGCUAUAAGUGUAUGAAAUCUCGACUGAGACAAAAUGGGUGUGCAUCCAACUUGCUUGCUCAUGAGGACCUCGGGCAUUUGAGGACACUCGUCAUCGAAAUAUACAAGCCAUGUUCUAUAAUGAAAAAUUCCCACUAGCAUAUGGAAGUGACAAAACAAGAGACUCUCUAUAUGAAGAACAUGGUGCCACUUUGAGGCACAAGUGUGGUAAAGGAUAGUAGCAAAGUCCCUUCUCUCUUUUUCUCUCAUUUAUUUGUUUAUUUUUAUAUAUUUUUUCAUGGUGUUUUUUUU